AGCUGCCGCCCAAGAUGCCACGAGUCCCGGCGAGCAGGCGACCGCGCGGGACCGCGCCCGCGAGGCACCCCGGCCCCUCCGCCUCCGAGAGCUGCAGGCGGGGAGCUGGCGAGCGCGCCCCGCUCCCCGGGGCCCCACCCUCGGCAGCAGCAGAGGCCGAGCUGCCCUGGCCGCCGACCGCACGGCCGCUCCCCACCCUCUCCUCGCGGACAGCGCCGGGCCCCGCCUCCCCGGGGCCGGGGCGUGUGUGACAGGCUCUCUGAGGAGGCCACGUCCCCUCUCGGAAAACCACUGGCCCUGCGCCCCGCUCCGCGCAAGGCACGGACGCGCGACCCUCGUUCCCAGCGGGGAGCAGCGGGGGAACAGAGGGGGCGGCACAGACCCACUCGGAGGAGUCUGAGUCCUUCGCAACUCGUACCGACCCCGAGGACCUGGGCGCCCCGCUCGCAGCCGGCCUGCCCUCUCCCCCCAGGGAGCCGAACUGAGGUCCCCGGAAAGGGCACGCCGAAGUUACAGCUUCCACGCUGGGACUCGGGGACGCCGAUCGCGGCGGAAGAGCGGCGGCGAAGUCAGCCUCCCGCCCCAUCCCCGCCCCAGGCCCCAGGGGCCCGCGUCACCUUACCCGGUCCGAGGCUUCAAUAAUGCACGGGCUUCCUGACCUGCUCUCCCGCGGCACAGCGCGCCCGCCGCCUCCGCCUGCGCCCCGGGUCCUCGGCGCGGCUCGGGGUCGCCGCGAUCGUGGGGGUGCGCGCGAGGGACGCUCUUUCGUCUUUCUCUGAAGAGGAUUUUCAGUCACUUGGGAAUCCCUUUCGGUCCUGCUUUAUGAACAUUCAUGGAACCUGAGAGCCUGGUUGUGCAAAUUGGAAUAAGCCAUGGCACCUGUCUUGGAAGAGCUCGUGCAUAAAGAAACAAUUGGAAAUGAGCCCAGGCACAGCAGUGCAACUGGGAGGUAAUGUGAGCCAGGAGAGGGACACCUAACCCACCAGAGGGACGGGGGCAUCAGGAACGGACAACUGAGCUGAGCCUGAAGAGAUUAGGAAUUGUAAAAGACGUCUGCUGUCUUGCCUCUGCCCAGCACCUACCCCCCUCUUAGAUUUUGUUUGUUUGUUUUUGUUUUUUGAGUCAGGGUCUCACUAAGUAGUUCAGGCUGGUCUUGAACUCAUUAUGUAGCCCAAGCUGGCCUCAAACUUGCAGAGAUCCUCCUGUCUCAGUCUCCUAAGUGCUAGGAUUACAGGCAUGUGCCAUUAAGCCGGGCAACAUUUUUCUGUUUUUAUGGUUUUUGUUGUUGCUAUUGUUUUUGUCUUUGAGCCAGGGUCUCACUAUGUAGCCCAGGCUAGCCUUGAACUCAUGGAGAUCCACCUUCCUCAGUCUCUUGAGUGCUGAGAUUACAGGGGUGUGCCACCACAUCCAGCUUUUUAUGAAAGAACUUUACCCUUUCCUUCAGGGGAAUUGCUCCUGUUCUGCUCCAAUCAGAUUUUUGUGAGUCUAUCCAUCACUUCUCUUCCUAGCCUGGCUCAUGAUUCAGGAAUAGCCAAUCCUAGGGACCCAACCCGUCACAGUGAAGUUCUGCUUUGUCGCUCCAAUUCCCUGACGCACACUCAUCCAAACACAGACAUGGACUCAAACUCACCCUGGAGAUCUAGAGUUCCAGGCCGUGAGCAGGUGUUUCAUAUGCCUAGAUUGUGCACUAGUUCCCUUGACUCAGACUCUGGUUGGAUACUGGAGCUGGAACGCACCCUAAAUCACAGGCUCAUGAGAGCGAUAACCCUCAGCCUCACUCUGCAGUUUCCUCACCCAGAGGCAGGGGUCCAGCUCCUGGUCACAGUCUCAGAGUCAGCUUACAACCAGAUAGACCAGUGUGGCAUCAAGAACCUGGCCGAGAGUCAUUCCCACUCCAGUGGGACUUCUCAGGCAGGAAGGGCUGCCUUGGUCAGCUGGCUGUCCCUGAUGCCCAUCCGGAAGGCAUGCACUAAAUUGCCAAGCUGACCGAUUCACAAAGGACUGCUUGAGAGUCCAUACUGUCCCCAUGGCUCUGCUUUCCUGAGUCCCCCACUUUAGGACUGCCUUUCUGUACUGAGGACAGGUGGCCAAGAUGAUUUAAACCUGACCCUGACCAAAUGAGGAUCUUCACCAACUAGCUGUCCUUUAUCAACUGUUAUUUCCUUCUAGAAAAUCCUCUCAUAAAUUUUAGAUAAAUGCCAAAUUCUUACUCAUUUUUACUCUGCUUUUAGAGGAUGUUGUAUUAGUCAUAUUUCCUGUUUCCAGGACAAAAUACCUGACACCUGCAACUUUAAAAAGGAGAGGUUUGUUUUGGCUCAUGGUUUCAGAGGUUUCAGUCCAUGGUCAGCUGGCUCCAAGGCAGAAACAGUACAAUGGAAGAGCAUGGUGGCGAAGCGCUGCUCCACUCAUAGCACCUGGGAAGCAGUGAGCAGGGAAAGAGCCUGAAAAGAAGGGGCCUUGACCAAAUAUGGCCCCCAAGGUGACAUCUCCCUGUGACCACUUCCUCUAACUCACUGAUGAGGUUAAGCCAUUGAAGAGGUGAGUGUCCUCAUCAUCCAGUCACCUCACCUGAAGUCCCUACCUCAGUCAAACUAACUGUCACGGUGAACUGGCACAGGCGUACUGUACAUGGGAUUUCCCAUACUAGGUUGAGUGGCUGCAGGGAAGCCACAUGGAUUUCCUCCCCAGGAGAACCACCCGGAGGCUCCUCCUCAUGAUCAUGGG
ensembl:lncRNA